rnacentral:snoRNA from 1 species
CUCCUCCUGGGAUUGUGUCUGAAGCGUGGCUAGUGUUCUGCCAGCUUUGGAAAGAGGAAGGAGAGCGAUCCUGCCAGUUUGCACAAGAGCUGGCAACUGGAAGACACUCUGCAACCGUG